AUUCAAGAUGCAGUAGUGUAUAGUGAUGGAUUUUCUUUGGAGAAUAGAGAGAAUGUCAAGAAAGAUGCUGCAAUAACUAAAAUCGGAGGUGCUACUCCAUCAGAUGAGAAAACAGUCGAGCUGGGACCAUAAGUUUAUGAGAGCAAAGCGGCCAUGAGAGCAGUAAUUAAUGACCGGAGAUAUGGUGCUCUAAAAUCCCUUUGUGAACGGAAGCAAGCUUUUAAUGAGGUAUCUCUCCAAGUCGGCAUUGGAAUGGGUUAAUUGCUGCUUCAAUGUUUCAGCAUACCGUAUUG